GGACUUAGUGAUCCGGUGGUUCCGCAUGGAAGGGCCAUCGCUCAACGGAUAAAAGCUACCCCGGGGAUAACAGGCUUAUCUCCCCCAAGAGUUCACAUCGACGGGGAGGUUUGGCACCUCGAUGUCGGCUCAUCGCAUCCUGGGGCUGUAGUCGGUCCCAAGGGUUGGGCUGUUCGCCCAUUAAAGCGGUACGCGAGCUGGGUUCAGAACGUCGUGAGACAGUUCGGUCCCUAUCCGUCGUGGGCGUAGGAAAUUUGAGAGGAGCUGUCCUUAGUACGAGAGGACCGGGAUGGACAUACCUCUGGUGUACCAGUUGUCGUGCCAACGGCAUAGCUGGGUAGCUAUGUGUGGACGGGAUAAGUGCUGAAAGCAUCUAAGCAUGAAGCCCCCCUCAAGAUGAGAUUUCCCAACUUCGGUUAUAAGAUCCCUCAAAGAUGAUGAGGUUAAUAGGUUCGAGGUGGAAGCAUGGUGACAUGUGGAGCUGACGAAUACUAAUCGAUCGAAGACUUAAUCAAAA
rnacentral:rRNA from 1 species